rnacentral:lncRNA from 1 species
AGGUGCUCCCCAGGCUAGCACUGCCCCGCCCCUGCGUGAUCCGGGAUGGGAGUUUGGAAACUGCUCCCCAUAGGCGGCCGGAGAGGAACGUGAAUCUUUGUCUGUUUCACUCCUCAGCAGCUCACUCUUGGCCCCAGGAGGAAAACGAGAAGGUUAACCAGGCAUAACCCGGAGGUGUAAGUCAGAGAGACAGGGUCUCACUGCAUGCCUGUAGUGCCAGCUACUCAGGAGACUGAGGUGGGAGGAUCUCUUGAGCCCAGGAGGUCGAGGUGGCAGUGGCCCAUGAUUGCAUCACUGUACUCAGUCUGU